GUUUGAAUGUGGAGGGUCUUUAUUGUCUUCUGUUUGGAUGUGGAGGGUCUUUAUUGUCUUCUGUUUGGAUGUGGAGGGUCUUUAUUGUCUUCUGUUUGGAUGUGGAGGGUCUUUAUUGUCUUCUGCUUGGAUGUGGAGGUCUUUAUUGUCUUUUGUUUGGAUGUGGAUGGUCUUUAUUGUCUUCUGUUUGGAUGUGGAGGGUCUUUAUGUGGAAGGUCUUUAAGUCUUAUGUUUGGAUGUGGAGGGUCUUUAUUGUCUUCUGUUUGGAUGUGGAGGGUCUUUAUUGUCUUCUGUUUGGAUGUGGAGGGUCUUUAUUGUCUUCUUCAUAUCUCAUUAUAUAUGUUUACUAUGUUCCCUCAAAGAAACAUGUAUAAUAUGUUAAGGUGGAACAGUACUUUA
rnacentral:lncRNA from 1 species